AUUUCCACCGCCAAUCUAAACCAAUAGGGAUUGGAUCGGUGUCGAUCAGUUGUACUCUCCCAACAAAAGCGCUGACUCCACCACACCACCGACUUCAUAUCUGUUCGUUCAUUCCGCCUCUUCUUCUGAUCUUCCUUACCCACGAAUCUGCCAGACCACUUACCCCCACCAUCGGACCUUUCAUUCUUCUCCGACAUCUCUAUCGUUAUCUCUCACCACCACCAUGGCUCAGUUCGAUUUAGGAAUCGGGGUGUUGUAGUUGGCAGAAGUGGACAUGGCUCCGGUUUUUGGGGAAUCUUCUGAUUCUUGCUUCCAUUUCUGAUGUGUCGUCUCUACUUCCCUGUCUCCUCCGGGUGUAGAGUCCAUCGAAAAGCGUCGAUUUUCUUUCUUCUUCUCAUUCAAUCCUGGAUUACAGGGGAUUCAGUUUCUGCUGAUGCGUCUCUCCACCGCUGUUAUGAUUACCUUCUCUCUAAAAUCGUCAAUCAUGACCAUUAUCUCUGUUUACGCUCAAACAUACGCCCCCAGCACGGGAUUGAUAGUGCUCAUCGGCGACCAACACUUCCCACUUAAUCCUUCUGUUCGCUACCCUGGGAAGUAGCAAAAUGUAAUCGAUAUGCAAAAAUCGAUUGAAAAGCUUUUCAUUUGAAGUUAUUUUUUAGUUUUAGAUGGAGGAGGUGUGAACUGCAAACAAACUUCAAACGGUGGUGUUGAAAAACAGGUGUAAGUCACCAUACAUGAAGGUGUUUUGUUAAAAUUUUAGUAUCUUGGUUUGCUGUUUGACUUUCCUUUCUUAAUUUCAUAAAAGUUUGGCUUCAUUUUCACCAGGUGAAUCAUGUUUUAGUGGGCAUCUCUACAACGUCAAAAAGGUUAGUUAAUUCAAUCUAUCGAAGAAAAAUUGAUUCUUCUCUGCUAUGAAGUUUCAUCAUCUCAACUAAUUAAAACAUCACUCCUUUCCUAAUUUCAAUAAGUUUAUUAUGUAAAUUAAUGCACUUCCAUUUUCAAUUUGUCAUUGUUGAUAUAUGCAUUAUUCAUAUUAGAAUAAAAAUUCAUAUUGGAAUAAAAAGAGUAAAAGUUUAUAGCAGCAGAGCAUAAAUGGAAUUAGUUGUUGAAGUUGGGUUUAUCUUUUGUCUAAUAUCUUCCUUUUGGGUUUAUUUUUGCGGAUCAAACAAUGGCAGGAGGCAAAUGAAGAUGAUAUGUAUUACCAACAGAAAGAAAAAAAAGAAAAAAAAAACCUACCUUUACUGUUUUCCCAUUCAUUAGGUUGAGGGUAAUUUUGUCAAUUUGGAUGCUUUACAUUUUACAUUUAUACCGACAUAUAUAAAUGUUGUUGUAAUAUUGUUGAAAAAAAUUAAAGAAAUACAAAUUGUUUGCUCCAGGGAAAUUUCAUCUUAUUUUGGUCUCAAUGGAGUACUACAAUCACAGAGACGUUAUAUUGAUUUAUGUGCUCUUGAUUACAGGGUAUUUGGGAAUUCUGUGUUUAUCUUUUCUAUUGGUUUUACUUGGUGCUGUUGGGAUUUAAUUUGAUGUUGCAUAUGCACUGAAUGUUGGAUUGAAUUCAGGCUUGUGAUCUCAGUCAACCAAAAUUGUUAUCAAAGAGACGAGGGCCAUUUCAGUCCGUUUUGGGAUUUUACUAUUAAAAUUGAGUUUUUUGGUAAAUCUUAUAAUCGUUUUUUCUAUUCCAGUCUUGGUUCAUUUGGAAGUACUCGAAGAUCUGAAUUGAUAAUAUGAUAGAUGAAUUUUUAUUGAAUCCUAAGACUAAAAAAUAUAUUUUCAAAAACAUAAAGAGAUAAUUUCUCAAUUUGUAGUUUGGCUUCAAAUAUUGGUAUUUAUAUAUAGGUAAGUUUUGGAUUGGAAGUUUUAGAUUUUAUUUGACGUGUUUGAAGAUAUAUUUUCAGAUAGUGGGAGCUAGCACAUAAUAGUCACUCAACCAGUAACCAAUGGCAAAAACUAAAAAAUCCAUGGAAAUGAAUACAUUGGUGACUUUUCUUCAACAUAACGUGAACUAAAGCUUCUAAAUUUGUUCCACAAGCAAGACAAAUGCAAUUUUCAGGCAUGGAGUUGCAUGGAGUUGCAGGAAGUGAAACACCUCUAUUUGCUGACAUAGUUAAUAAGGGUAUUAUGUAAUCUAAAUGGACCUGAUCUAUUAUACAGAUUCAUAGCAGGAUUGAAGAACAUAUCAUAUAAAAAAGGCCGCAAUAUGGACAGAAGCAUGCAGUGGAUGGUAAAUUGUUAUUUAUUCUUGGAUUAAAUACAAGAAGUAGCAAUGUACCUUCAUUGAUUUGUUUUUCAGCCAUAUUAAUGCAAUUAAGAAAUAGCAAUGUAAAUUCAUUUUCUAUAACAUAAUUCAACAUAUUUGAUUAUUAUUUAUUUGUAAAUUGCCGAAUUGUAAGGAAUAACAACAUACUUUACUGUGGCUACCAAACACUUUCCAACCCCCGCAACGCGGGGGACCCCUUCUAGUUUA